rnacentral:sRNA from 1 species
CAUGAACUGGUCGUGCAGGCUUUCGAUCUGACCUGCAAUGAAAUCGACAAAGCCUGACGGCACAGACUUGUUGAAUGUCAGCUUCGCAGCCGACUUGCCGCGUUGGAUCUGGCCAAGCACGAGGCCAUGAGAGAUCAGAUCGCUCGUGGAAGACGCUGCAGCCCUCACAUCAACCUUGGUAAGGGCUUCAAAAACCGCAGUGAAGCGUAGAUCGCUGGAAGAGGCUUGAAUCUGCUCUUGCUCCAGAACCAACUGCGCCACCUUCGCGGGCUCCCGGUGAGCCGCCCAGCGCACUUCGAACUCGAUCCAUCUACGCCGUCCGAUUUCAGGAGCCGGACCAAUCUGCAUCAGGAUCUCGCGCGGCAAUGCUGCCGCUAUCCGGAUCAUUUCGGAGAUAUGCGACCUGCCGGUGCUCAGGGACUUGCAGAUCACGUCGCGGCGAUAGCCGGCAGCCUCCUGCGAUUGCGCAAAAAGGCAUCGCUCGAUGAAGGACAGGUCCUUGCGGUUGCUGUUCUCUUCCCCUUGGAGAACGAUCGCAUCUUCGUCGCUAAGUUCCCGGGCGAUUGCCUUGAACUUGAUGCCGAGGAGUUU